UUUAACUUUCCUGGUCAUAAACUUCCACGCUACAACCAAAACUAGCAGAUAAUUUGAUUUACAAAUAAAAACUAGCAAGACAAGAAAGGAAGAAACCUUUCACAAGUCUAAUCAGCCGUCAACUACCCCUGUCCCAAUGCCUCACGAUUCUCCCACAAAACAAAGGCAAACCCCCCGAAAACAAACAGCCACUCGACAUAUAUAUAUUAGUAGCAUCUGCCC
rnacentral:lncRNA from 1 species